rnacentral:lncRNA from 1 species
CUGAAUCAAACUAUAUAGGAGAAGAAGCAAACAAAAAGAUAGAGGAACCAUACCAGUGUAUCUGUAGAAGAUCAAUGUGGUCCGUCCCGAGGCGCAGCAAGCUCUUCUCCACACUUUCUUUCACGUUUGCUGCGUCGACUCUCACAGUCUUUCCACUCUCACGGAGGUAAGAUGAUCGAUCGGAAUAGCCUGAAACUUUAGUCGCGAUUAUUACCUGGAGAAACCAACACGCAUGCCAACAAGAUAGUUUGCAAAAGUAAAAAGAAAAAGGAGAAAAAUAUAAACUAGGCAAACAAAAGCAUCAAGAAAUCUAGAGCUUACCUUGUCGCGCGAUUGGUUUUUCAGCCAGGAGCCAAUGUAGCGAUCUGUCCGCCCUUGUGUCUCUUUCGCCGGAGGAACAGGAUACUGUCAGACAAGCCAUGUAAGAUACUUCCCAAGAUAAUACCAAAGCAUUCUAUACCAUCUCGGCAGUGUCGAGUAUGUUGAUUCCAUUCUCGAAGGCAUAGCUUAGUUGCUCGUGAGCGUCGGCCUCGCUGUUUUGGACCCCCCAGGUCAUCUACAAGCAAGCCGCAAGCAGCGCGAUGGAUUGACACUCUCAAAAUCCAAGCAAAAAAAAACAGUGCAACUUACAGUUCCCAGCGUGACUUCGCUGACGACGAGCUCCGAGUCGCCGAGCUUGUUGUAGCGCAUCGAGGCGCUCGCACGGGCGGCUACAUUCCUCCUGGAUGUAAAUCGAAAAUUCCUGCCAGCAUUGAGAGCUUGCAAUGGAGGAGGAGGAGCCACGGUAGCCAUGGCAAGCCCUAAGCUUUAAACCUUGCAUGGAUUCAUUUUUAUUUGGGAGAAUUAUUCGAUUUAGUAAAAGGUUGAUUUUAGUAAAAGAUUUUAUAUAUAUAUAUAUACUACUUUAUAAUGUAUAUUCAUAUUAAAAUUUUCAUUAUUACUAUAAAAUCCCUUUGAGUGUAAUUAUAAGCAAUGUUCUAUAAUAUUUUAGGUGUAAUUUAUAAAUAAAUUUUAUUUUAAAUUUAAAUACAAUACUAAUAUCUAUUUUUGGUUUGCUGAAGCAAAUCUGUAUGGUAAUGAAUAUACCUAGAUUAUGCUUGAAUAUUCAAGGAUAUUCUACCAUCUAACAGUUCUUAUUUAUUUAGAUUAAUCUUGUAAUUAUAAUUUAUAAACAUGUUUAUAAAUUUUCUUAAACACUUUUUAAUAUAUUCUUUUUUAUUCUGCCAUCUAAUGGUUGAUAUGUAAUAAGAUUAAUCUUGUGUUAUAGUAAACUUUUAUUUGAUCAAUUGGAUUAAUAAAUAGGAAUAACACUAAUAUUGAGUAAACCAAACAUUGCUACAUGCAAUGCGUAGCAAAAAAAAUUUCAAUGUCAUGAACCUUUCAUAUUCAUAUAUAUAUAAAACAAGAUGUACGGGUUUGAAAUACUUAACACCAGACCUUAGGUUGAUCCACCUUUUCUCUUUCAGGAAGCUUGUCAUGACGGACCUGUGCAAGAGAUGUAUGAUAUCGUUCCCUGUAUCCAGGAAACAUGUUCAAUCGUCCUCACUUCGCAGCAGGGCUGUCAGGAUUGGCAGACUUUCCACUCAAUGCACCGCCAGCCAGUGGAGAGUACACCAGUAGUCCGACGUUGCAGUACUUUGUGAUGGCUUAAGUAGACUGUUCACAGGAAAAGUUGGCAGACGAAGUUCACCAGAUUAAUAGUUUGUUCCUUCGAAGCGGCAGCAAACAAGCAAGCUAUAGCUGUUUUGGAUGCUCACGAUCUUGGGAAGGCCGAGCUUCUCUGCAGCAUCGGUGAAUCCCAUGACACCAAACGAUGUUUCGUUUGAGACACCAAUGUAGCGAACCUGGAGUAUCGUGAGAAAGAUGAAUCAACAAGCGAGAACCUUUCCCUCUUGAAUGACCGAGUUGAGAGCUUCCAGUUGCUCCUCGAACGACACGCUCUCUUGCCACUUCCAUAUAUCAUAGAAAAACUCGCCAAGAACUCUCGCGGAGGUAAGAUGAUCGAUCGGAAUAGCCUGAAACUUUAGUCGCGAUUAUUACC